rnacentral:rRNA from 1 species
AGCGAACGCUGGCGGCGUGCUUAACACAUGCAAGUCGAGCGAAGGUGUUUCAAGGGUAACCUUGAGAUACACUUAGCGGCGGACGGGUGAGUAAUACGUGGAUAACUUACCUCUAGGCCUGGGAUAACCCCGGGAAACUGGGGCUAAUACCUGAUAAGACCACAUUGUCUACGGACAAAGGGGUAAAAGGUGGCUGUGCAAAACAGCUAUCGCCAAAAGAUAGGUUCACGUCCCAUCAGGCAGUUGGUGAGGUAAUGGCUCACCAAACCAAAGACGGGUAGCCGGCCUUGGCGGGUGAACGGCCACACGGGGACUGAGACACGGCCCCGACUCCUACGGGAGGCAGCAGUGGGGAAUAUUGGGCAAUGGGCGCAAGCCUGACCCAGCGACGUCGCGUUGGGGAA